rnacentral:rRNA from 1 species
AAACGGAUGCUAAUACCGGAUAUUAUGCUUUCUUCGCAUGGAAGGAAGUAUGAAAGCUAUAUGCGCUAUGAGAGAGCUUUGCGUCCCAUUAGCUAGUUGGUGAGGUAACGGCCCACCAAGGCGAUGAUGGGUAGCCGGCCUGAGAGGGUGAACGGCCACAAGGGGACUGAGACACGGCCCUUACUCCUACGGGAGGCAGCAGCC